GAGAGCAUUUAAAUGCUGGAGAGUUCAGAAUUUUAAAUUUUACUUAAUCAUCAUCAAGAGGCCUGGGCAGCUUAAGAUCAAUAAGGAAAUAAGAAAUUCAACAUUGGUGAGCCAACUGGCUAGGCAAUGAUGCAGUUAACUGAGAAAUGGAUUGAGAAAAAUGUAUCUGGAUAAAAGAAUAGGAAGGGAAAAAUGUUGAAUUUAAAAUUUUAAAUAUGUUGAGAUUGAAGUGUUUGAUGCAUCAAUAAAAAUUUGUCUGUGCAUUAUCUUAGUACUCUGAUUCAUAAUAUCUACUCUGGUUGCUAAGAGGCUUUUUUUAUGUUUACUUCUUAGGUCAGAUCACACUAAGCUCCAGUUAAGUAAUGUUCAAUAUUGUAAGUACCAUAUAAAUAAGAUUUAGCAAGCACUGGUUCUAUAAAUUUAGGAGGAAGGAAAACCCACACAAAAUAAAACAAGUCAGAAAACAUGUACUGACUUGUACUUCUGCCAUUUAUGUAGCAACUUCCUUGUAUGUCAACACAACUGUUCACAGCCCUGCAAUUCUUAAAGAAGGCUGACUAAUGUGAUGAAAACAUUAGCACAAUAGAAACUAACUUCCCUGUAUGCCAUUUACCAAGGAAAAGGAGUGAUCAAAAGAUGAAAUUUAAAGAAUUUAUUUAAUGUACUUCAAAGUGGGUGGUUCAAUGUACUAAAAAAACUUUGUCAACUCAAUAUGAAAAGUAUCACUUUCACAUAUAAUUCUUAAUUAGUUUUAUAUUAAUAAAGCUUAACUCCCUUUCUAAUAGAAUAAUUACUCUUUCGUUAUAUACUAGAAAUUAAAUUCCUGGAAUGCUAUAUUCCUGAAUUAUUUUUAUAUUUUUGUUGUGCUGCGUUGUAAGUAUCUAGACAUAGCUCUCAGUGCUACAUAGUAGAAUCUCAUUGUAAAUCCAUUCCAAGAGCAAUAGUUUGCAUCCACUGACCCCAAGCUCCCAAUCCCUCCUACUCCCUCCCCCUCCCCCUGGGCAACCACAAGUCUAUUCUCCAAGUCUGUGAUUUUCUUUUCUGUGGAAAGGUUCAUUUGUGCUGUAUAUCAGAUACCAGAUAUGAGUGAUAUCAUAUGGUAUUUGUCUUUUUCUGACUUAUUUCACUCAGUAUGAGUCUCUAGUUCCAUCCAUGUUGCUGCAAAUGGCAUUAUUUUAUUCUUUUUUAUGGCUGAGUAGUAUUCCAUUGUGUAUAUAUACCACAUCUUCCUAAUCCAAUCAUAUGUCGAUGGACAUUUGGGUUGUUUCCAGCGUUUGGCUAUUGCUGAAUAGAGCUGCCAUGAACAUGCAGGUGUAUGUGUCUUUUUUAAGGAAAGUUUUGUCCAGAUAUACGCCCAAGAGUGGGAUUGCUGGGUCAUAUGGUACUUCUAUGUAUAGAUUUCUAAGAUACCUCCGUACUGUUCUCCAUAGUGGCUGUACCAGCUUACAUUCCCACCAACAGUGCAGGAGGGUUCCCUUUUCUCCACAUCCCCUCCAGCACUUGUUAUUUGUGGACUUAUUAAAGAGGGCCAUUCUGAAUAGUGUGAGAUGGUAUCUCAUGGUAGUUUUGAUUUGCAUUUCUAUAAUAAUCAGUGCUGUUGAGCAUUUUUUCAUGUGCUUCUUGGACAUCUGUAUAUCUUCCUUGGAGAAAUGUCUAUUCAGGUCCUUUGUCCAUUUUUCCAUUGGGUUGUUGGCUUUUUUGCUGUUGAGUUGUAUAAGUUGCUUGUAUAUUCUAGAGAUUAAGCCCAUAGAACUUUUUUUUUUUUGUCUUUUGUCUUUUUAGGGAUGCACCCGUGACAUAUGGAAGUUUCUAGGCUAGGGGUCUAAUUGGAGCUGUAGCUGCCGGCCUACGCCACAGCCACAUCAAUGCCAGAUCCGAGCAGCAUCUGCAACCUACACCACAGCUCACAGAAAUGCCUGAUCCUUAACCACUGAGCGAGGCCAGGGAUUAAACCCGCAACCUUAUGGUUCCUAGUCAGAUUUGUUUCCACAUGCCAUGAUGGGAACUCCCUGAAUUAUUUUUAAAACUUCAAAAUAAUCAUGGUCAAACACUACCUUGUAAACAUACACACAAGAAGCUUUUAAGAAAAAGACAGAUUUCUAUUUCUAAUAGAUAUAUUUUUCUCACCUGAUUUUAAGUCAUAAUAAUCACAAUAGGCAAAUUCCUCUCCAGUUAAAAGUCAAUCCAGUGAAGGCUAAUAUAUACAUUGAUAAGAGGAAUCACAAAGUGGUAUUCAUAGGGUUCCUUAAAUAAGUGACUGGAUUAUAGAAAUACUUCAUUUGAAUUUCUUGAUCUCUGCCAUAGUCCAUCUGUUUGCACCAAUUUGGAAAGCAUUCAACAGGUUAUUUCCAAAGAGCAAACAGGAGGUCAAGUUUAUAACACGUGACUUACUAAGUUUAUUUAAACAGCACAUAGUGAAUAAGAAAUUAGAUUCCCCAUAGGACACUGGAGAAAACCUCAAGUCUUAAAGAAAAAACAUCAAAAGGAAAAUAAUGUUAAAGCUAUUACUACUCAGUCUGUUCCUCCUGUUUGUUGAUAAUUUUGGGGAAACCUCUAACACAGACAACCACAAAUUCUACGACAGCCUCGAGCUGACCAGCCUGAUUUCUGAGACAACCCCAAAUGUGAAUACAGUUCAAAAGCUCCAAAGAACCUCGGAUCCCAAGACGACUUCAAAUCCUGAGACAACUCUGAAAACAGAAGUAAGCCCAAAGAGAGCCACAACCAUGAACACGUAAAGUGGUGGCACCAUACUGAAUCCAAUAGACAACAUUCACUUUCUUUCCUAUGUAGUAUUUUUGCUGUUUUGUGUGCACUCAGGCUGAAGUGGACUUGGACGGUCUGCAUGGCUAUCUCAGUUCAUUAUGACAACAAGUACACUAGGAAAACCAAAUUUAUUUCAAUUUACUUCUGAAGAAACUGUCAUUAUCCUAGCUUAAUUUGAUUGUUUGCAAAUUUUAAUUGUAUAAGCUUAAUUAUUACCUUAAUAUGAUGGCUUCCUUCCUUAUAAAUGCUUAAAAAGGCAAAAUACCAUGUUUGGCUUUUAUGUGUUUGCAAAAUUGAACUGAAAUUCAGAAUUUUACAUUAAAGAUGUAAGAGAAAA